rnacentral:lncRNA from 1 species
CCAACCCACUCUUGUGACAAUGACAUUGAACCAUUUGUGAAUCCUUCACGACCCAAUCACCUCUUAAAGAUCCUACUCCCAAUAUUACAAUGGCGUUUAAAAUGUCAACAUGAGCUGUGGAGGGGAUAGUGAAACCACAGUCCAUGCUCAGGCUUGGACCUAGACCAUCUAAUGGGAGACCAUCAAGAGGGACUGAAUUUCAAUUAUGAACAUUUAACUGUGUUCACUUAUUGGGUAAAAGUUCAAACUCCAUAUUAUACUACCCCAUACCUAUUCAGAACUUGUUUGCAGAGCCUGUAAAGGGCACCUCGCUUGGGAUUCUUCACCCAAGAUAGUCUUGUAUACCUAAGCCGUGAAAUCCCCAUAGACCACAGAGAGUAGACAAGGGUGAAUGGAGUUCUGACCAUUCUGAUCAUGACCGUUCUGAUAAUUCGCAGGCACCCUUACUACUCUAUACUGGACAUACCCCAUAAACAGCACACCAGCAGUCCGUUGACAGAUGAGAACACGGAGGCCCACAAAUGUGUCCUUGGUCACACGGCGAAUGAGUGGCAAGAAUGGGACUGAAAUUCAGCUGUAUUUGACUCCAGACUCUUUCCGCUACUUAACUUGGUCCAAUCUGUGGUUGAAUUGUACAGCACAAAUGUAUCUCUCGGGCUGACAGUGAGUUUCAGAGCAUGAGGUUCUGCUGGAGAGAAUUCUGUUCACGAAUGGUGAUCUGGCCCAGUGCCAGGAGAAGGUCACCUAACUAGGGAAGUCCAGCUUUUCCUAGGGAGAUGGAAAUGUCUGGGACAUUUUCUAUUUUCCUUUUUCUUGAUAUAUGUAUAUUUCAUACUAUUAAUAAUUUCCUAAAUCUCCUUGAUGUAGUUUCCUUCUUUGAGGAUGAAACUCAGUAACAACAACAACAACAACAAAAACAACAACGGCCGGAGAUGUGGUUCAGCGGCACUGCACCUGCCUGGAAAGCGCAAGGUCCUGAGUUCGAUCUCCUGUACCAGAAAAACCACAACAACAAUAACAACUAUCAGGAAAAACUACACAGUCUUUUCAAAGUUCUUUGCUAUUUCAUUAAGAACCUUCAUGAGAGUCCAAAGAUGGCAAAGUAAAGGCUGGCAGCAUAUCACAGCUGCUCCAGGACCUAACUCCAAACACCCAGAAAACAAUAGCUUAGUGGAG